rnacentral:lncRNA from 1 species
GCAUAUGCAAUUAGAGAGUACCAUUGAGUCAUUGACGGUUGUUCCUUGAGAUGCGGAGGCAGAGAAGAUAUUUAGUUUUACUUUUUUCAACAUUUUUAAUAUUUAGUAAUCUGUCUUUAUGUUUUCUCUUGCAUAUGUUUAACGUGAUAUUUCUGAACAAUAGUCUUUUAAAAUAUUGUUUCAUAACGCUGUAAUAUAUUCUUUAAAAAUAAAUAAUAAUAUAAAAUAGGGUUAAUUAGCU